ensembl:lncRNA
GGGCGCGGCGCGGCUGGGUGGGCACGGAGCAGGUCGAGGAGAGAGGAGUGUCUUCGGCUUUGGGAGCCUGGAGUUUUCCUUUGGGCCCAGGGUGGACGCAAGGUUCGUUCUGGUACCGGAAUGGGAGGUGGCGAGGUGUCUGUCCAAAGACCAACGCCAAGAAUAGAUGAGGGAUGCGGGGCUGGGCUCAGUGGUACCAAGGCUCGGACUUGGAAGUAAAACUUUCCUCUUUGGUGAGCUUGAGGUUUGACUUUGAGAAGGUAAGUGUAGGACCUGAGUGGAGGUGGAGUGGGGAGUCUUGGCUGUACUCUGGCGGUGAAAUUCAACGCCAUUAGGUUCACUGUUGCUCUGUUAAAAGGGUCUUUUGAGUUAUGGUUCUGUUCGAGUUUGCUAUUAUCUGUUAUGAUCACUUGGGGUUUAAUGAGUGGUGUUUCCUUUUGAACAUAUCAGUAACCUAUAUUGUUGAAGUAUGCAUAAUUAUUCAUUUCUUUUACAAAAAAAGACUUAUUUUGCUUAUUCCAAGGGUAGAAACUUUAUGGAAAAAACAGUUCUAUGAACUUUAGCUUUAUUCACUCAGUUCUAACACUACCAUAAGGAGUGGGUAAUAUGAGGAAAUCCAGACACAGAGCGGUGAAGUCAUUUACCCAAGGUCGCAGGGCUUUAAAUGUUAAAGACCAGUUGAGCCUUCGGUGAACUCUAAACCAACAUAUAUAUUUUUUUCAUAAAAAUAGGACUUCAUUGUACUGUCUUUUUUCUUAUAUAUUUGAUAUAUUGACCGCAUUUCUACCAAGAUGAACCUCAUAACUAUGUUCUACGUGUUGGGGACAAUUAACAUUUUCCUAAAUUUUAAUGGCAAUUAUGGCAACUAUCCUUUGAGCCUUUUCCUUUUGCCAAAACUGACCGUUUCCUACAACAAUUAUGCUUUAAAGUAGUAUUUAUCAGCUAAAUUAAGAUUUUCAGCAGGUAAGAUUUAUCUAUCAGCAAAGUCAAUUAUUAUAAAGCAGGCACCUGAAUCUAUAUAUUUGUUUGCACUUAAUUUUAAACUUCCUAAGGUAUUAGUCUGUUACUUUGCUCAAAGCAGGGCCAUCAUUUCCUUCCGAACCCCAUCUUGCAGAAUUUUUGAGCAAGUUUAAUCAUCUUUAAUUCAAUCACUCUGACAAGAGCUUAGGCAGUUUUAAAAGAAGAAUUAUGCAAUUCUCUUUCAACUCUCAGUGAUUAGAAGCAGGCUAUAUUGCGAGGGUGUUCGUGUAUGUCAUGGCUUUUCACCAGUUGUAUGUGCUUUAGACAAAGUUGUAUAGCAGUGAAGACGGAAAUCACAUUUUUUCAUUAGUACUAAGCUGAAAUACUGUAAACGUCUCCACUUGUUCUAAAUGAAUCAUGAUGUGAAGAAAGGUCUCAGUGGGGUAAAGCCCAUCUGCACGUAUUUAGAGAAUUAUGUCUCAUCUGAGUUUAUCAUGGAGCUCUUAAUAUUUGUUUUAUUAGACAGAUAUCUCUCUUAGGUCUUCAUCUGUUAUUUUUUCAAGUAAAUUUAAUUGCUGUUUCACAUAAUGAGUUUCAAAAUUAUUCUGACAUUCAUAGAUUUCCUUAAGUCUGGUUUUCAGUUUCAUUAAAUUCAGUAUACAUAUAUCAAAUCCAUACUAAUUCAACAUUACAUGUGAAAAAAGAGUAGACUCUAACUGAACUACAGGGAGACAUGAUCUUUGGAUGUGAAAAGAAUUAUCUUCAGUAGUUAAACUCUUCCACAUCCCAAGGUAUUGUCCAUCUCUAUUUGGGGGUGCUAGAGAGUACUGCAGUCAGGAAGGUUGCAUUCCAUCAGGCACACACUUUUUUGAUAUUGAAAUUGAACUUUCCAUGUCUGUUUAUAUAAAGUGUUGAUGGUUAUCAAGGCAUAAAUCCUAUGGAGUGUCCAUAUAUCCUUUCUUAACUGACUCAUCUGUUCCAGUUUUCCAGUUUCUGUUACUUAUUUUAGAAAAAGCAUUCUCUCACUACUUUUAUCUCACCUGGGAGAUUUGACAUGACUUUUUCCCUUCAAGUCCCCUGCCUCUAGUUUCGGGAGAACUGUGUUGUCUCUGCCUCUUGAGAGGCUCUUUGCUGCAGGGUCUGGGCGGAGAACUGAGGUUGCAUGGUGAGCGGAAAAAAUGAGAGCGCCCUGCCAGCCCAGGGGCCAGACUUCAAUCCAAUUGUCAUACACAUAAAUGGAGUUCCGAAAGAAGGAAUGCAGUAAGAAUGUGUAAUAAAGGAUUCCGGACAAGACAGGGAGGUUUGGAACAAGAUGCAUUAGAAGUCCCCUGUUUACAGAGACAUAAUGUAUGAGGAGAGGUUUACUAAGAUUUAUUUUUUUUAAUUAAUUUUUAUUUGGUACCUAGUUGCUUUACGAUGUCGUGUUAGUUUCUACUGUAUAGCAGAGUGAUUCAGACGUACAUAAUACAUAUGUGUGCUCAUGCUCAGCCAUGACCAACUCUUUGUGACCCCUUGGACUGUAGUCCACCAGGCUCCUCUGUCCGUCAAAUUUUCCAGGCAAGAACACUGGAGUGAAUUGCCAUUUCCUUGUCCAACAGAUACACGUAUCCCCUCCCUUUUGGACUUUCUUCUCAUUCAGGUCACCACAGUGCAUUACGUCGAGUUCCCUGUGCUAUCCCGUGUGUUCUUACAUGCUUUCCUCAGUGUUUUCUGGAUUAGAGACCUGUGUCUCCCUCUAGUUACCUUUACACAUUUCUAGUCACCAUUAGAUACAUUAUUUCCCCUCAUCAUACACCUUUGGUCAUAGAGAAAAUCACAAAAAUCCUUUUCACAGUACUUUUUACAGCCUGUAGAGAGCAUGUACUACCCUUCCCUGGUUAUUACUCUUAUUUUCGAAGAGAUAUUUAAAUUUAAUGAAGGGUAACCAUUGUCUUUCUUUGCCUUAACAACAACUUUGAAUUUUAAAGAAAUAGUUGUGUGUGUUUGUGUGUAUAUGUGUUUGCUUGUUGUUAAAGUGGCAGGAUGUCUCAAAAUAGAAAUGUAAUUGAUUUAUCACACAUCCGUAAGAUUCCCAGAAGUGUCUGUAGGAAGAAAAGAGGCACCAGAGUAAGAGAGGUGAGCUUAAGUGUUGAGUGUGCUGAGCAAAUGUGUAUUAAUAACGUAAAGCAAACAUAAUAAUAACUAAACUCAUUGACUACUGUGUGCCAGACAUCUUCUGUGGCUCUAUAUAGAGUAACUCAGGUAUUCUUCACAGUAGCCAAAUGAGGGCUGCCUGUAUUACCAUUACCCCCAUUUUACAGAGGAGGAAACUGAGGCAACGAGCAGGACGGUAAUCAUGGCCACUGUCACACAGGUAGAAAUUCUGAAUCUAAUAUUGAUUCUUUAGUUCAUGCUGUUAACUGGUAACAUGUAAUAUCUGAUUCAUAGUUUUAUUAAUGCAUUAAGUCCCCAUCAUUGUUAAAAAUCAUAACACCUCCUCAACUGAUCGUUUGGUUAUUUUCCUGCAAUUCAAACAAGUGAAAAAACUUAUAACUUCCCUUAUGUCAGUGCUUUUUGCUCCAUAUUUUACAUGCAAAUUAUCUAAAGCAAGGACAGGUAUUGAUAUAUAAAUGCCUAAAGCCUGGUAACUGCUGGAUUAUGGGGAAUUUCUCAUUAUAUAUUAUAUAUUUUUGAAUUCAAAAAUAGUAACUUCAGCACCAUUUGAAACUACUGAAAUUUCUAAUAUCACAGAUAUAUACUUUGGCAUUUCAAAUAAUUAGGUAAAUAUCUUUAACAGUCUGAAGUUCUAUGACCGUUAGUAAACUUAAGAAUUUAAAGUCAUCUGUUUCAUCUACCCCCAGUGUUGUUGUUCAGAGUACUGUAUACUGAAAAAGGGAUAUAAAAUAUAAUAUAAAAACACCUGUUGAAUUACCUUGGUACAAUUUAAAAGUCCAUGUUAAUCUUUUUAUUUUUUUAUUUUUUUAAUUUUAAAAUCUUUAAUUCUUACAUGCGUUCCCAAACAUGACCCCCCCUCCCACCUCCCUCCCCACAACAUCUCUCUGGGUCAUCCCCAUGCACCAGCCCCAAGCAUGCUGCACCCUACGUCAGACAUGGACUGGCGAUUCAAUUCUUACAUGAUAGUAUACAUGUUAGAAUUCCCAUUCUCCCAAAUCAUCCCACCCUCUCCCUCUCCCUCUGAGUCCAAAAGUCCAUUAUAUACAUCUGUGUCUUUUUCCUGUCUUGCAUACAGGGUCGUCCUUGCCAUCUUCCUAAAUUCCAUAUAUAUGUUAGUAUACUGUAUUGGUGUUUUUCUUUCUGGCUUACUUCACUCUGUAUAAUUGGCUCCAGUUUCAUCCAUCUCAUCAGAACUGAUUCAAAUGAAUUCUUUUUAACGGCUGAGUAAUACUCCAUUGUGUAUAUGUACCACAGCUUUCUUAUCCAUUCAUCUGCUGAUGGACAUCUAUAAUCUUUACACUGGGAACUUAUGACAUGACUCAUAGUUAUUUUAACUAUUAGUUACUUAAAAUAUUAGUUAUUUUAAAGUAAACUUAGUUAUUUUAAGUAUUAUCCAGAUAAUAAAAACACAUGGCACAUGUGAUUAGUAAGGUAGAGCACUAAUGGGUUAGGUGUGCUAAUGCAUGUAAAGGUUUAUGCACAGUGUUUGAAGAUAUCAAUCAGUGUUAUUGCUCCCUGAAAGUACUGGGUCAUAUGUAGCUGAUACGGGCUUCCCAGGUGGCACUAGCGGUAAAGAACCCACCUGCCAAUGCAGGAGACGUAAGAGAGAUGAGUUCAAUCCCUGGGUUGGGAAAAUUGCCUGGAGGAGGGGAUGGUAACCCACUCCAGUAUUCUGGUCUGGAGCAUCCCAUGGACAGAGGAGCCUAGCAGACUACAGUUCAUAGUGUUACAGAGUCAGACAGGACUGAAGCAAAUUAGCAUGCACACAUAGGCAUUUGAUAUGAUUAAUGUUACUGUUAACGAUGACUCACAAGUAAUACUGAGUGCAUAUAUACAAAUACUCAACUAUCUUCUUUGAAGUUUUUGGAAACAUUCUAGGCAAUGUGUACAUUUUCUGUAACUCAUGGAGAAUGUGAUACAUUAUUUCUCUAUAUGCUCCCCACCAUACAAAGCAUCACAGAGUAAUUAAUAAAAUGUUAUUCCGAUUUAUAUCAUAAGGAAAGAGACUCAAAGCUUGAUUGUGUGUGUGUGUAUGUGCUAUCAGAGUGGAAGUUACCAUCAUAUACAACAAUGAAUAAUUCUUUAAUUGUAGUUUACAAUUUGAUGCCACAGUGCACUAUCCUAUUGCAAAGAGUUUUGUGUGUUUAAUGUAAACACAAAAUAUGUUACUCAGUUACAAUACUUUAGGUUAUUCAGUCAUAGCAAACAGCUAAAAUCUUGGUUACUGAAAUGAGCAUAGAUUUAUUUCUUGCUAAUGCGUUCUGCCCUGUUGGCCAAUAAAACACAAAAUAUGUUACUCAGUUGUAAUAGUUUAGGUUAUUCAGUGAUAGCAAACAACUAAAAUCUUGGGUACUGAAAUGAACAUAGAGUUAUUUCUUGCUAAUGCUUUGUGCCCUGUUGGCUAUUUUACAUCUUCCUCACAUGGUAACCCAGGCUCAUAAAACCCCUGUCAUCUACAGCAUCCCCAUCACUGAUUCAUCAAACACAUGGAAACAUGGUGGGUCACUCACAAAUUCUUAAAAGGCUUCUAUCAGAAGGAGCAGCUGCUGCUGCUACUCAUAUUUUAUUGGCCAGAGCAAGUCCUAUGACCACUCCUAACUGGAAGAUGAAAGAGAAGUGCCGUUUUAUCAGAUAACUCAGAUGGAAGUAAACUGCGAUAUUAGUGAACAGACCUGAUUGUUCCCGGAUGGAUUUAUCCAGUUCACGUCAAUAGUUUUUAUCACAUAAAGAUGACUUAUGAUUUUAUAUAACAAUUGUGUUUUAGAAUUUCAACCUAGAAAGGCAAUUCCUGCAUUAAACCGCCAGCAAAGGAAGUAGAGUCUAAACUUAUAAAAUUGAUGAUAUCCCUCUUUGUCAGCGGGGGUUGGAUUUAGUCAAGGAAUGUCAAUAAAACUCUGAUUUGAAUAAAUGCAGGAGAUAGCCUUUCUGACAACAAGCACAAGUCAAGAACGGUGCCAAGAUCUGCAGUGUAGCUGUGUUUUCCGAACAGAUUUGAUAGUAUCAACAUGAUACAGAAAACUGAACAACCACGUGUGUGUCUUUUUGUCACCUGCACCAACAUGAACAGAAGUGUUAAGUGUGUUACCGUAUAUUGUUAUAAAAAGUAAUACAGGUAAACAUAUCAAUCAUACUGUAUGGUUAUUUUACAUUGACAAACAUAACCUGAAAAGACAGACUAUAUCUAGUCCAUGUGUUUAAUGCUAUAAAUUUCCUGGAAGCACUGCUAUUGUUGAGUCCCAUAUAUUUUGGUAUGUUGUGUUUUCAUUUUAAUUUAGCUCAAGUACUAGUUUCAAAAUUUCUCCUGAGAUUUCCUCUUUGAUCUGUGGGGUUAUUUGAAGGGUGGCAUUUACUUUCCAAAUGUUUGGAGAUUUCUCUGUCAUCUUUCUCUGUUUUGGUUAGAGAACCUUAUUUCUUGUGUUAUCUUUCUCCAUUUUAGUCAGAGAACACACCGUGUAUGAUUUCAGGCUUUUAGAAUUAGUUUAGGUUUAUGUUAUGGCCCAGAAUGUUGUCUGUCUUGGUUUAUGUCCCAUGGGCACUUGAAAAGAGUGUGUAUUUCACUGUUUUUUGAUAGAGUGUUAUAUAAAUGCUCGUUAGAUCCUGUUGGUUGAUGGUGCUGAUAAAUUUUUGUAUGUCUUUACUAAUUUAAUGUCUAGUUGUUUUAUUCGUUAUUGAAAUAAUUUGUGAAAUUUCCAAUUAUAAUUUUUAUUUCUCUUUUUGCAUCUAUCAGUUUGACUAUACUUUGCAGCUCUCUUGUUUGGUAUAUAUAAAUUUAGGAUUGCUAUGACUUGGUAUAUUGAGUAUUUUAUCCUAACAUGAUACUCUUCUUUAUAUGUGAUAAUUUUAUUUGCUUAAAGUCUACUGAAUCUGAUAUUAAUAUAGACAUUCCUUUUUUUAAUUUGAUUGAUGUUUACUUGAUUUUUUUUUAACUUCCUGCUUUCAGCCUGCCUGUAUCAUUAUAUUGGAUCUGAAUUCUUUGUUCAUACAUUACCAGUGGGUUACAUAUUUUAAUUGAUUUUGCAAAUCUCUAUUUUUUCAUUUGUAUAUUUACAGAUUUACAUUUUAUUAAGACUGUAUGUCUGCCAUUUUAAUUUUGGGAUUUUUUUCCUCUCUGUUUUUGUUUUAGUUCCUCUGAGUUUUUUCCUUCCUAUCAGUUACUUGAGCAUAUAUAGAAUUCCAUUUCUAUUUAUCUGUAAUGUUUUUAAGUGUAUCUAUUCAUAUAGACUUUUAAUGAGUACUCUGAGUAUUAUAUCAUGAUACAUAUAAUUUAUCACUGCCUACCACUGUUGUCAUUUUUUCAAUUACAGUGAAGCAUAGAAACUUUACCUUUUUUUAUGUAUCUUUAUCCUCUUCCAUUAAUAGUAAAAUUCUCUAAACUAUUUCCUCUACAUACAUCUGAAACUGUUACAACUUUUGUUUCAACUGUCAAACACAGGUCAGAGAGCUCAAGAGGAGCAAGAAAAAUUCAUGGUUUCUGCUGAUAUUUUCACUUACCAUGUUCUUUCUUCUUGAUAUUCCAACAUUCUUCUUUUAUUGCUUUCUUUUUGUUUCUAAACCUCCCCCUAGCCUUUCUUUUAGAGCCGAUAGGCCCCCUCUUGACAAUAUGUCUUUGUUUUCCUUCAUCUAAGAAUGUUUUGUUCCCCUUCAUUCCUGAAGGAUAUUUUAACUGGAUACAGGAUUCUGGGUUGACAGUUCUUUUUUUUAAGCACUCAAAAUCUUGUGCCACUUCCUUGUGGUCUCUGAGUUUGCUAAUGAGAAAUCUUAUUUUGUUCUAAUUGGUUUUCUCCAAUAGGUGAAGUGUGAUUUAUCUCUUGUUCUUUUCAAGAUUUUUGUUUAUUUGUUCUUAGUUUUCAUAAAUUUGACUAUGCGGAAUCUUGGUAUGUACUUUUGAGGUUUUCUGUUUGGUGUUCAGAUUCAUGAGUCUAAAGACUUACGGCUUUUGUCACCAUCUAAGAAAUUCUCAUCCGUUAUUUCUUUGGGUACUUUUUGAUCCCUGUCCAUUUUCUUUUCUUCUCCCACGCCUCUGAGACUUGAAUAUGAGGUCUUUUGUUAUAGAGACACAAUGUGUUAGUUACCUAUGGCUGCUGUAACAAAUUACCAAAAACAUGGUGCUUUACAACACAUUUAUUCUCUUAUGGAGGGGGAGACUGGAAGUCAGAAGUCAGCUGCAAUGGGCUCAAGUCAAGAUGUCGGGAGGACUAGUUCCUUCUGACGGCUCCUGAGGAUGGUACCUCUCUUUCACGUUUUCUAGCUUCUGGAUCCACCAGUAUUCUGUGACUCACAGUCCCUUUUUCGUGUCACUCCAAUUUCUUGCUUCUCUAAUCACAUCUUCCACUUCAUUCUCUAUGGUCAACUUUCUUUUUGCCUCCUUCGUUUAAGGAUACUGUGAUUACAUUCAGGUUCCACCUGGAUAGUCCAUGAUAGUCUCCCUAUCUCAAGAUCUUUAAUUUCCAUCAUAUCUACAAAAUCCCUUUUGCUAUGUAAGGUUACAUUCACAGCUUCCAGGGAUUAAGGCCAACCUGAAUAUCUCUGGGAUCCCACCAUACAUGGGUUUCUGAGGCUUUGUUGUUGGUUUUGGUUUGUUUUCUCUAUUGUUUAGAUGGGGUAAUUCCAGUUGUUCUGCCAUACAGCUAACAGAUUCUUUCCUCAUCACUUUCAUUAAGUUAUUGAGCCCACCCAUUAAAUUUUAUAUUUGGUUAUUGAUAUUUUCUUCAGUUCUAAAAUGUCCAUUUAGUUCUUACUUGUAUGUUCCCUAUUUUAGCUGACACUUUCUACUUUUUCAUUUGUUCAUAAUUUCUCACUGAAGUAUUUGUUUAAAAAAUAUUUUAAAAGCUUUGCUGCUUUAAAACCUUUGUCAGAUAAUUCUAACAUUUCUCUCAUCUAAUUAUGGGCAUCUAUCAUUGUCUUUUUAUAUUCAGUUUAUGUAAUUGAUGUCCUUGAUUCUUGGUUUGAUGAAUGAUUUUCAACUGAAAUCUGGCCAUUUUCUUAUUAAGUUAAAAGACUUUGGAUCUUAUUUAAACCUUCUGUUUAAAUAAGAUCUUAUUUAAACCUUUUGUUUAAAUAAGAUCUUAUUUAAACCUUCUGUUUUAGCUAGCUCCCAGUAACAUCACCCCAGUGGGUGAAAUGAGAAUGAUGCCACCUCAUCACUGCCAGUGGGUACAGAAGUGAAGGCUUCUUACCCAGUCUCCCUUGUCAUGUGAUAAGUAAUAUGGAGGGGGCUCCAUAUUACUGUGGGGAAGAGAAUGAAUUCAGGCUCCUCACUAGGUCUUCACAGUUACCUCCCUUUCUGUUUCCCGUGUGGCUUCCCCUGGCAACAUUAGCACAGGGAGGUGGUCACUCCUGGGCCACAAUGAUAGUCCUUCCUCUCCAGUAGCCUCCCACUGAUACCACCCAGUGGGGAGGAGGAGGGGAGACUUGGUACUGCCAGGUGGGGGUGGAAGUUCAGGCUCCCCGUAUGGUCUCCACUGAUAACCUAGUGGAGGUGAGUGAUGGGAGUCUCACUACCACCCACUUGAUAGGAAUGAAAGUCCCAACUCCCUACUUGGUCUUUCGUGACAUCACCUUGAUGGAGGUAAGGGGAGUUGGGGUAUGCUGUUUCAGCCCGGUGAGGGUGACAGUCUAGGCUCCCUACUUGGCCUUUGUUGGUAUGGAUGGGGUGGGGCCACAUUUUUUUUUUUCUGUCUCAUAUAGCUGGAAGAAAGCAAUUAAUCAUUAUAAAAGUUUAUUUUUUUUGUUUGUUUUGCUUUGUUGCUCCUUUCUUGGUCCUUUGGCUGAAAGAGCAUGCUUUUGGUGGCCUGCCAUUUUUCAUCUGUGCCUUUUGGCAUAUCUGGGUUUCUGGUUUUGUAUUUCCUUAUCUGGUAAUAUAUGAAGCAAUGCAAAAAUCCAGGGAACUCACCACCAUUCAUUCCUUGGGCCCUGAGUUUCCCUACCUGGGUUUGCCUUCUCUCUAACUUUCAGUCUUUGUAAGUUUAUUUUAUGUGCCGUGUCCAGGGUUUAGGGUUGUACCUGGUGAAAAGAAGAGGGAAAAGUACUUUUGCUUCAUCUUCACAGAUGUCUACUCCACAUUUUUUAUGCAAGGGUAAAUUGAAAAAUAUCCCUCAACAUUGAUUCUCAGAGGAUGAAGCUCAGGGGAUUACUACUGAUCUGUUUCUGAAUAAUAACCACUUUACAGAUCAGCAGGAUGAGAGAGUACUUGGACAGGGAUGCAAAUAGGAUUACAGAACAUUCCAUCAGUGCUGAGGUUCAGGGAUCACGUGGAGGUCCUCUUACUCCUCCAAACCACAGCUUUCUCCUCUCCUGGGAAACCAUGACUGCAGGGUGUAGCAAGGUUGGAAACUUUCCCCAUUCUCAUAGGCUGUCUUUUCUGGCAGGAUUCUGGAACUAUACCGUCCGAGCCCUUCCUAAAUUCUCACAAAGUGUUUCAUUCCCAGGAACAUUAUCCAUCUGAAAUGCAAUUUUCAACCAGAAAGCAUGUGGUAAAAUGUGGCUUAGCUGGGAAGAAAACAGAGAACCCAAAAAUCCACAUUUAAACUCUUAAGAAGCACCUACCAGCGAGCACUCAUGUUAGUUUCAUUUCAUAUAAAAUUAUACAUUAAAAAUAAAUGUAUGGAUUUUGUCAAGUUGUUUGAUCACUACUCAGGAGAUUAAGUUCAAGAGAUGGGGCUGUAAGUUUUCUGCUUGAAACCAAUAUUCUGAGGAAGAAUAGUUGGUGGGGAGGCGAUUACAAAGAACUGUCUAGGGAAGUUCUCCCUAGAGACAAAUCGAGUUAAUGAUGUUGUAUUUAACCCUGAAGGUCUCACAGUAGUAGCGCAGUGGUUCUCAAACAGCGGUCCUCUGGCAGCAUCUGUACAACCUGGGAACUCUGAAUGCAGAUUUCUCAACAGUCUCUUGUGACAAGCCCUCCAGGUGCUUUCUGAUGCCUCUACACCUGGAGACCAAGAACCAGAGCAGCCUCUCCAAGCACUGAAGGAAACAUUAAAUGAGUGCUUUUCAUGAUUCUCUCUUUCUUUGUUUUGGCUGCGCUGGGUCGUCAUUGCUGUCCUCGGGCUUUCUCUAGUUGUGGGGAGUGGUUACCCUUCUUUGCAGUGCACGGGUUUCUCAUUGUGGUGGUUUCUCUUGUUGCCAGCACGGGCUCUAGGCCCGCAGGUUUCAGUAGUUGUGGUAUACAGACUUACACUACUCUGCAGCCUGUGAAUCCUCCUGGACCAGGGAUCAAACCCAUGUCCCCUGCAUUGGCAGAUGGAUUCUUAAGCACUGGACCACCAGGGAAAUCCCUUUUUCAUGAUUCUUGACUCAUCCAUUUAGGUUUUUAGAAAAUCUAUCUAGCAUGUUUAACAUUCAGCAUGUUUUAAGUAUACAUAUUUUUUCAAGGAAAUAUCAUAAAGAAAUUAAACAUUUAUCACCCCAAAGGGUCUCUUUCAUUGAAGAUAUCUCAGUGAUUUGCACAAUUGUUUUGUAUCCUUAACCCAAACAGUCGUGACUGCUGCAUGUCUCAUUCCGUGAUGGAAACCAAAAAAUGCAGCCACGCCUACACUUCCCUGCCUUGGUUCUGUGUAGCUGCUGAGUCUCACGUUAAUGGGUUUUUCUGGCUGUCUUCAUGACGUGUUCUGGGGCCGACACCAGGCAUGAGGAUAUUUGGAGGCGAGGGUGGGAGCGUCUCUGCAUCCCUUGAAGAAGAUUCAUUUUGGGAGAUCUUGUCACACAGUAUUGUUAGAGACAGACACAUAUGCAGAUGUCUGGAUUCAUCAUUGUCAUUACCACAGCAGCUCCACUAUGGGGGAUUCACUGUCUAUUGCAGGCUGGCAUUUUUCUCUGGGGUCAUAUGAGAUUAAAGGGAAUCUUGGCUCCAAGGUUGUCCUUAGGAAAGAGAAGCUACAUUCCUGAAUAAAGAGUUUAUAUUUGGGGUGCAGUUAUAAACCCCAGGAUGGAGUAAGACAAAAUCAAUUAAGAAGUAAAUGGUAAAAGAUGAAAAAAUAUUUUCUGAUGGUGAUAAAAUACAGAUAGAUUCCCCAGUGGCUCAGAUAGCAAAGAAUCUGCCUGCCAUGCAGGAGACCUAGGUUUGGUCCCUGAGUCGGGAAGAUUCCCUGGAGAAGGAAAUGGCAAUAACCCACUCCAGUAAUCUUGCCUGGGGAAUCCCCAUAGACAGAGGAGCCUGGCGGACUACAGUCCAUGGAGUUGCAAAGAGUUGGAUACGACUGAGCGACUAACACACCAUGGCAUAUAGUCCUAAAUACAGUUCAGUUUCAUUUUAUAUUAGUUCAUGUUUUCAAUUAGCAAUUCACUAAACAUAGAGAACAUAAUAGAUUUGAGUUUACUUAGACCCAUGACUUUGGAUGGCUAAUAUUUUAGAUUUUUGAUCAUCACAUUUUACUACAUGUAAUUUUUAAAUAUAUUUUUUGGUGUCUAUAAAUCAUAAAUUUCAGUUCCACAUACCUUUUACUCCCCACACCUUUUUAAAGGUGGCUUUCUUUUCUUUUUAUAAAUAAAUCUGGGGGAUGGGUCGAGAACAGUUUAUCUGCUUUUAAUUUAAAAUGACCCAUUCUGGGUACUUCCCUGGUGAUCUUCCAGUUAAGAUUCUGUGCUUCCACCGCCAGGUGUAUGGGUUCUCUGCCUGGUCAGGGAGCUAAGAUUCUGCAUGCUGCGUGGCCCUGCCAAAAAAAAAAAAAUUACUGGCACACAUUCUGGGUGCAGAAAAAUACUAUUCUCUUACCCUUUCAACAUCCCCCACUACCAGUUGUACUGUGUUUUUCAUUCCUUCUGUUCCCUUUGUGCCUUCAAGCUGAUUAUAUUUUUCAUUUACUCAUCCUGCUCGGGUGUUUAAAUGGUGGUGCCUCAACAUUGUUUUGGGGAGAAGACUUUUCCAAACCUUCAUUAUACAGUGUUUGUUAAAUAAGACCAUUUGGGCAGGUUGGAGGAGCCACUCCUUAGAAAACAUAUUUUGAAAUGUUGGAGCAGAUGUGUUCUCUCACACACACAUCCUUUAUAAAUAAAGGCCCCUGGCUCUGGUGGUACUAGUCAGAUGUGUUCUUUCUCAGAGGGAUCACUUGGCUGGCAUUUUUAAAUGUGGUGGUUUAAUCAUCACCGAAAUGCUUAGGUAAGGCUUAAAUAUGAAGACAAAUAGUUUCUCCACAAUAAAUGGGGGCAAGGAGAGGGGGAUUCAAGAAGGGAAGUGUCUUCUGCGGGCAGUCAUCCAGAUUUUCCCACACAGUGUUAGUCUCUAUUUAUACACACAAAAUGUGUCAGGUGAUUUUUUUUCCAUAUGCAGAUAAAUUCUGACUCUUCCUUUUAACCUAAACACUGCCCAAGUAAUGUUUACCAUGAGAUUGCAUUCGAAAUAAUAUUUCUGCUAAUGCUGCUAAACAGCUUUUAGGAAGUGAUAUAUGAGUCAGGUUGAUGUUGAAUCUUUGAUCAAACUAUGAAUCAGAUUUUCAAAACCGGAAAGCAUUUCAAAGCAUUUGACUGCUCUUUUUUGUUUUCCUCAAUGUCAGUGUGGUCUGUUUGUGCAUUUUUUCAUUUUCUUUGUUUGCUCUUCUUUUCCUUUUUUUUCUCCCCUUUAUUGGCUUAAGAAUUCUUUUUCCUCUUAUGACUUAUUUUUCUAGGAGCAUGUGACAUAACAGCUAUAAAUUAAAUGUUCUCAUUGUGUAAAUACCUCUAAUAUUUUAGACAUGAGAUUGAGAGUUGGUUCAUAUUUUUACAGUUUGCAUUCUUGAAUUGACACAAAAGAUAAACAUCAGUCUGCUCUGGAGUGGUUACAAAGGUGAGAUAAUCCCAUUUUACCCAGCCACCAUCAUCUAAGGGGAAAAAAUAUGGCCCUGUGAUUUCACUUGGUUGAGCAUGUGGAAUAUGUUUUGGUUCUGAUUUUAGGAUUAAGCUGGUGAUUAAGGGAGGGGAGAAGGUGACAUAUCAGUGCUUCAUUUCUUUCUUAGUCUCCAUCCUUUUGUCUGCUUGUGAGUAGAGCCUAAUCUGUGUCAGUUACCUUUGUUUUCUCCUACCAGUUUGUCUCCUGUCUCCAUCAUUUUGUUUGCUUAUUUUGUUUUGCUUUUCUCUUCUCUUCCCCCACUCCAUACCCCAGCUCCCAUCUAGCUGAGCUGAAAGACCAGCAGGGAGACGCAUCAGUUAUGAAACUAGAAACCUGUGAGCCCCUGGCUUGUGCUUCUCCAAGUUCUCACCAAACCCAUGGCAAGACCGUGAUUUUUGGUUUUUCUUCCUCCCUGGUUCAUCAGCCAUUCCACAUUAUUCCCUUGGAUUCAGUAUUUUAGAAUAUUCUGUGUUAGAACUCACCUUUGUCAUAAUUAGUAUUCACGAUACACUGCAGGGGCUUCCCUGGUGACCCAGUGGUAAAGAACUCACUUUCAAUGCAGGAGGUGAUCCCCUGGAGAAGGAAAUGGCAACCCGUUAGAGUAUUCUUGUCUGGAAAAUCUCAUGGACAGAAGAGCCUGGUGGACCACAGUCCAUGGGGUCGCAAAGAGUCUGACAUGACUUAGUGACUAAACAACAACAUGUCUUCUAUAUGUCUUUCUAGCUCAGUGGAGUUAUGAAAUGAGCCAUUCAUUUUUUAAUCAGUUUCAGAAUAUGUUUCAAGGACCACCUGUAUCAGAGUCAUCUGAGAUGUUUAUUAAAGCUAUGAGUGAAAGUGAAAGUGUUAAUAACUCAGUCAAGUUUGAAUCUUUGCAACCCCAUGGACUGUAGCCUGCCAGGCUCCUCUGUCCAUGGAACUCUCCAAGCAAGAAUAAUGGAGUGGGUUGCCAUUACCUUCUCCAGGGUAUCUUCCCAACCCAGGGAUCAAACCCAGCUCUCCUGCAUUGCAAGCAGAUGAUUUACCACUGAGCCACCAGAGAAGCCCCUGAACCCUAUCUUACAUCUCCUGAAAAAGAAUCUCUCUUACUGAUUUUAGGAUUUUUGAGGCUGACACUAAUUAUAGGAAUUAGUCCAGAUCUGUGCUUACAACCCAAGGUACCUUUUAUUUUUUUAAUUUAAUUUUUAUUGGAGUAUAGUUGCUUUUCAAUGUUGUGUUAGUUUCUGCUGUACAGCAAAGUGCAUCAGCUUUACAUACACAUAUAUUCCCCCUUUGUUGGCUCUCCUCCCCAUCGGUCACCACAGAGCACUAAUUAGGGUUCCCUGAGCUGUGCAGUAGGUUCUCAUCAGUUAUCUAUUUUACACAUAGUAUCAAUAGUGUAUAUAUGUCAGUCCCAACCUCCCAGUUCAUCUCCCUCUUUCCCCUUUGGUCUUCCUCUGUGUUUCUGUUUUGUAAAUAAGAUCAUUUGGUAGCUCAGUGGUAAAGAAUGCAAGAGACACGGGUUUGAUCCCUGAGUAUGGAAGAUCCCGUGGAGAAGGAAACGACAACCCAUUCUAGUACUCUUGCCUGGGAAAUCCCAUGGACAGAGGAGCCUGGUGGGUGAAAGUCCAUGGGGCUGCAGAAGAGUCAGACAUGACUUCGUAACUAAAUAAGCCCAACAACAUACUAUUUUUCUAGAUUCCACAUAUAUGCAUGAAUAUAUGGUAUUUCUUUUUCUGACUUCUCUCACUCUGUAUAACAGUCUCUAGAUCCAUCCACAUCUCUCCAAAAAAUCAGAAUGCAUGGAUCCAUCUCCAGGUUGUAACUUAAACAACCUGGUAUGAUUGUAACAUGCAGCCUCUGUUAUCAACCAGCAAAUGAGCUAUAGAAGUUGGAAGGAAAGACAGAGGUUGGUGCUGACACGGAAGCAUUACUUCAGUAUAUUCAUCACAGACCAGAGAUUGACCCUCAUUUAUAAAUUCAGAAACCAGAUCUUUUUCUCAAGGGCAUAGUCAUAUUAAGUAAGCUUAUGGAGACUGAGCUAUAAAUAAGGAUGCCAUUUUUAGAGUUAUCAUUGUGACUAGGAUCAGAAUGACCAGGGCAUUCUUACCCUAUAGGCAAGACUCUCUCCAUGGGAAGAAAAAUUGUCAGAAAUUUGCUCCUGGAAUCUGGAGACAGAGAAAGGGAAAUGAGUUGAAUUAAAGGAGUGAAAACAGUGGAGAAUGAUGAGGUGUCAGGAACUCUCCUAAAUGUUUCAUGUGUAUGAUUUCAUUCACACCCUCUCAGCAGUCCUUUGUGAUGGUGUUAUUGGCUCUGCUUUCUCUAUGAGAAAGGGUAGGAAAAGAGGGGCUACAUAACUUGCUGAAGAGGAAGAGCUGAAAUCCUCGCUGUGUGUGACUAAGUUAUUAGUGAACUAAGAAUGAAGCUACCAGAUAACUUUAGAGUUGCUGGGCCUCGCCAUCUGUGUUAAGAAAUCAAGUGGGGACAGAAUAGCUUCUAGUUGGUGGAGAAGAAGGGAAUGUAUCAAAGCACUGCCUGUCUGGGUAGGAUGCUUUCGAGUCAUGAGCAAUUAGGAUGAGCAGUCCCUUUCCCACCAUCGUACCUUGUGGUUUGUUUAUCUGAUCUCUCUGUACUUGUAAUUAAGUGAAAGAUCCAUAUGAGCAGAUUCUACUCUUAAUUUUUUUUUUCCUAAGGACACAUCACAGUCAUGUACAAAAAACUAAUCAUACAGCUUAAUAAGGGACUUUCCUGGUGGCUCAAUGGUAAAGAAUCCACCUACAGUGCAAGAGCCUCAGGAAAUGUAGGUUCAGUCCCUGGGUCAAGAAGAUCCCCUGGAGGAGGGCAUGGAAAACCACUCCAGAAUUCUUGCCUGGAGAAUUCCAUGGACACAGAAGCCUGGAGGGUUACAGUCCAUAGGGUUGCAAAAAGUAGGACACAACUGAAGCGACUUAGCACACAACGCACAUCUUAAUAAACAGUAAUAACUGUUAGUUGCUCAGUCUUGUCCAACUCUUUGCAGCCCCAUGGACUGUCGCUUGCCAGGCUCCUCUGACCAUAGGAUUUUCCAGACAAGAAUACUGGCCAUUCCCUUUGCCAAGUGAUCUUCCUGACCCAGGGAUUGAACCUGGGUCUCCCACAUUACAGACAGAUUCUUUGCCGCCUGAGCCACCAGGGAAACCCAAUGAACAGUAAUAAGACAUAUUUAAAUAUAGUGGACAAGUUUGCACAAGUCAGGCUCAUGGAUGUCCCCAAAUCCUGAGUUAAUUUUGUCUCAGAAAAUAGAGUGAAAUUGACUAAAAACUUCGACUUGCUCCAAUGCAAGCAUGUUUCCUAUUAUUUGGGGGAGAAUUUCACGGAGCUCACAGUUUCCUGUGUCUCUCUUCUGAGUUUCUGCAUCUGCUGAAUGCCAGAUCACCACUCAGGGUUUUGCUUUCUCAGUAUGUGCCAGCUUUCCCACGAGGUCCCCCUGCCGUCAACCUUCCUUGAGCCUUUACCAGCAAGCAUCGCCUGUCCAUCAUACCUUGUGGUAUCACCUGAAGUAUCCUGAAGUAUCACCAGUCCAGACUGUGUGUUUGGCAGAUUUUGCUAUAGGAUUUGAAUAACAGCGUUGAGUUAUAGCACAGAAAUAUGAGAUACUUGCUAGUAUUACAACUUCCUCAAUCAUUUCUGAAAAUAGUUAUACUUUGUGUUUUUACCUUAGGCUUCCGCAGCUCUUUUCUUACUAGGUGAGAAAUGGAGUUAUUUCGAAAUGUAUAGAUUGAUCUCAAAGUGGCAGGUACACACUAAUAAAUCAUAUUUCUGACUUCUGUUUCUGUAAAUCCUAUUUCUGUUUUCCCCAGUUUAUCCACUAGGAACUGUCCUAUCACAUUCUUUUGUUGUUGUUGAGUCAUGUCCGACUCUUUGUGAUCCCAUGGACUGCAGUGUGUCGGGCUUUCCUGUCGCGUUCUUAGCACCUGUUGAAAUGUAACCCUUACUCUCUUGGGCAGAAAAAGCAAAUGCCUGCUAAGGGCAGACCUCCUAAACCCCUCAGCAUAUACAUCUUCCAUUGGUGAAUCCAACAGACAGAGGGUGUAACUGCACUACAUGGUCUGGGGCUGUUACUUUAAGACCAUUUGAAGUCAGAGAUGGCAAUCAUAACUCUACACUGGUGAUGGUUCCCCAUUCACUGAAAAGUGCUUAUGAGAAGCACAUAAUUUAAGAGUAGGAAACCCUAGGGCUCUCAGAAUGGAAAAAUAUUGUAUAUCCUCGAAGAGACAUCUUUCAAGAACAAAACAACUCUUUUAACUUCUUUUAGCUCAAACAACUCUUUCCAAUAUUAGAGAUAACUAGGAACAAUGCUUUAAUAGACAUGUUUUGUACCUUGAAGGUUAUAGUUUUCCCAUUUCUGCUCAUUUAGUGGAAAAAGGGUAGAAAUUUUCUGCUGUGAUGAGAAGGAAUGACAUUAUGGGAUAUAAACUAGGAAGUCAAGAUAGGAAAAUGAUACUUUUUUUCCCAUAAGAUGUGGUCACUGCUAUAAUCAGGAUGACUAUAGUGAAUGCAGUUCACUUGCUAGAUAUGACAAUCCACAGAAAACUAGAAGUUGCUUAAGAUUGGCGAUAAAAGUAACAGCCACUUUUUUAGAUUAUCAUGCAUUUACACAGACAGCUUUUGCAGCUCAAUUUUUCAGAAGUCUUUGCCUCAUAUCUUUUAAAGCUGCCAGGGAGUAUAUUAUUGUGAACUCGUUCUGUUAUACUAAUCAGUGUAUCCAUGACCCCAGAAAACACUGAUCAAGAUGGAUGCAAACCCAGAAGAUAAGCACAAAGUUUAGCCACAAAUAUAUACUAACAGUAAAAUUGACACUUGGAAAAUUAAAACAUUUAUAUGGUCAAAGCAUGUGUCAUCUUCACCUAGUGACAGAGUAAGAAGAACAUAUAGCAGGCCUCAGAGCAAACAUAGUAUUUUACUGCUAACAUCACUUUCUCUAGCAAUACCUAAAAUGUUACCUGAGCUCUGCCAGAUGCUGAACUGACAACUGAGUGAUUUGCUCUAAGUUCUCAUUAGAGAGCCAUCAGUCUCUUGCACAGUGAUGUUUCCACUGCUUCUGUAACUCACAGUGGGACUAGAGGAAGAUGAAGGGGUCCAUUCACCAGUGUCUGUGGGAAGGCUGGACCACUUGGAUUCGGUGGAGAAGUAUCACUCCCUUGUCCUCAGGGAGCUUACAUUCUACCUGGGAGAUACAAUUCAGAAGAGAAAGAGCUGGUGAAACAACAUGAAAUAAAGAAAGGCAAAAUUGCUUUGUUGUAUGAAAUAUGAGAAAUUUGGGGAAAUUUCUCAUAGAAAUCAUAAGAAUUGGGAAUGCUGUCAGGAGUUCUCUCACAAUGUCUUAAUAGCUUCCUUGGAUUAGAAAUCAAUAAUGGUGUGAAUAAGUGGGUAUCCCCAUUAAUUACUCUCUGCAACCCACCUCCGACCCUGGUAGUAAAGACCUAAACAGACCUUGCAAGACGCUACACUCCAUUUUUAGGGAAAUCUAUGAUCAUGUUAUGUUUGUCCUGCUGCUGCUGUUGCUGCUAAGUCGCUUCAGUUGUGUCCGACUCUGUGCGACCCCAUAGAUGGCAGCCUACCAGGCUCCCCCGUCCCUGGGAUUCUCCUGACAAGAAUACUGGACUGGGUUGCCAUGUCCUUCUCCAGUGCAUGAAAGUGAAAAGUGAAAGUGAAGUCACUCAGUCAUGUCUGACUCUUGGCAACCCCAUGGACUGCAGCCCACCAGGCUCCUCCAUCCAUGGGAUUUUCCAGGCAAGAGUACUGGAGUGGGGUGCCAUUGCCUUCUCCAUAUCUUUGUCCUAAUUCCACAUCAAAUCAGAGAAAAGUUAGGGACCCAGGAGACAUAGAUGUGAAUUAGCCACAAACCUUAUGUGUCAUAUUGAUGGUUCUUAAAGAGGCGCAGGUUUGAUCACCAGCACCAGCACCAGCACCACCUGGGAAUUUGUUAGCAAUGUGAAUUCAGCCCCUGUUCCAGACUUACUCAAUCAGAAGCUCUGGGGGCCAGCAAUUCGUGCUUUCAAAUAAGCUUCAGGUGAUUCUGUUGCAUGCUUAAAAUUGCACUGAUGUUAUUAUGGCGUAAACCAUUUGAACGUAAUGUCUAAGGCACCCUUGAAGAAGAAAUGGGGUAAAGAAGUGUUUUAGUAGCCCACGAACUUCACCCUGUGUUGUAUUGGUAGUGGGGAGUGUGGGGGUUGGGAGUGUGGCAGUUGUCUCAUAUGUUGAUUGUCCUGAAAUGUUCACUUGUAAGCUUUGAGUGUUCGUUUAACAGUUUAACUAUUACAGGAGGCUCCCUCCCCCUUGCUUAAUGUCUUAAAAUUCUUCUUUGAGUUUGUGUGUGUGUGUGUCUGUUUGCUCAGUCACUCAGUGGUGUCCAACUCUUUGCAGCCCCCAUGGACUGUAGCCCGCCAGGCUCCCUCUGUCCAUGGAAUUUUCUAGGUAAGAAUACUGGAGUGGGUUGUCAUUUCCUACUCCAGGGGAUCUUCCCGACCCAGGGAUCAAACCUGAGCCUCUUGCAUAUACUUCAUUGGCAGGCAGGUUCUUUACCACUGGUGCCACCUGAGAAGCCCACGUGUCUGUUUAGGUCUGUGCAAUUUUAUUACAUGUGUAGAUUUGUGUAAUCAUCACUGUUGUUGAAAGAGAGAACAGUUUCAUCAGCACAGGGAUCCCUAGUGCCACCCUUCAAUAGCCACAUCUUCUUCUGUCCCCCUUCCCCCUCCCCUCCAUCUGUAACCAUUGGCAACCGUUAAUCUGUUCUUUAUCUCCAUGAUUAUGUCAUUUUAAAAAGGUAACAUAAAUGAAAAUAUACUAUAUGUAGCCUUUUGAGGUUUUUUGUUUGUUUUUGUUUUGUUAAAACAGCAUAAUUGGUUGGCUUAAGGUCUAAGUAGCUCAUUGCAUAUAACCAUAAUUCCUUUUUUAUUGCUUUAUUGUAUUUCAUAAUAUAGAUGUACCACAGUAAGUUUAUUUAGCCAUUCACCUGUUUAUGGACAUCUGGGUUGUUUCCAGUUUGGGGCUGUUACAAAUAAAUAUGCUUUGAAUACUCACAUAUAAGCUUGUGUGUACAUGUAAGUUUAUAUUUCUGUUAUGUAAAUGCCCAGGAGUACAGUUUCUGAAUGUUUAGUUUUGUGAGAGAUUGCCAAACUGUUUUCCAAAGUGGAUGUGUCAUUUUACAUUCCUGCAACACUUCAUGAGGGAUUUUUUCUUUGUAGCAUCAGCAGCAUUUGGUGUCAUCACUGUCUUAUUUUAGCCAUUCUGAGAGGCAUGUAGUGAUAUCACAUUGUGGUUUUAAUUUGCAUUUCCUUGAUGAUUAAUGAUUUGCUUCUUUGCCAUCUACAUAUCCUUUUUGGUCCCUGGGAGCUCAGUGGGAAAGAAUCCAUCUGCCAAUGCAAGAGACACGGGAUUCGAUCCCUGAGUCAGGAAAAUCCCCUGGAGAGGGAAAUGGCAACCCACUCCAGUAUUCUCACCUGGAAAAUGCCAUGGACAGAGGAGUGUGGUGAGCUACAGUCCAUGGGGUUGCAAAGAAUCCAACACGACUUAGUGGCUAAACGACAACAAUCCUCUUUGGUGAAGUGGUUUUUUUUUUUCAUGUCUUUUGCCCAUUUUCUAAUUGUGUGAUUUAUUUUCUGACCAUUAAGAUUUGAGAGUUUUUAAUAUAUUCUAUAUGUUAGAUGUAUAGUUUGUAAAUAUUUUCCUUCAGUCUUAAGCUUGCUUUUUCAUCUUCUUAACUGGUCUUUCACAGAGCAAGCAGUUUUAAUUGUGAUGAGGUCCAAUUUAUUCAUUUUUUUAUGGAUUGUGCUUUUGGUGUCAAGGUUAAGAACAUUUAUGUAGCCUUAGAUCCUGAAGAUUGUUUCCCAUUUUUUUCUAAAGGUUUCACAAUUUUACAUUGUAAAUCUAAUUACAUUAUGUGUUAUGAGUUACUUUCUGUAUAACAUGAGAGAUCUGGGUGGAGGCUCAUGUUUUUGCCUAUGAGUAUGCAAUUACUGCAAUAAAAAUGCCUUCAAUUUUGGCAUAUCUAUUUUUUUUUAAUUCAAUACACGUUUACUGUCAGAACUUACUUUGUGUGCUAUCUCCUCAGAAACAUGUAUGCAGGUCAAGAAACAAUAGUUAGAACUGAACAUGGAACAAUGGACUGGUUCAAAAUUGGGAAAGGAGUACAUCAAGGUUGUAUAUUGUCACCCUGCUUAUUUAACUUAUAUGCAGAGUACAUCAUGUGAAAUGAAGGGCUAUAUGACUCACAAACUGGAAUCAAGAUUGCUAGGAGAAUUAUCAACAACCUCAGAUAUACAGAUGAUACCACUCUAAAGGCAGAAAGAGAAGAGGAACUAAAGAGUCUCUUGAUGAGGGUGAAAGAGGAGAGUGAAAAAGCUAACUUAAAACUCAGCAUUCAGAAUAUGAAGAUCAUGGCAUCUGGUCCCAUCACUUCAUGGCAAAUAGAUGGGGAAAAAGUAGAAACAGUUACAGAUUUUAUUUUCUUGGGCUCCAAAAUCACUGCAGAUGGUGAGUGCAGCCACAAAAUUAAAAGACACUUGCUCCUUGGAAGAAAAGCUAUGACAAACCUAGACAGCAUAUUAUAAAGCAGAGACAUCAGUUUGCCAACAAAGCUCCAUGUAGUCAAAGCUAUGGUUUUUCCAGUAGUCAUGUAUGGAUGUGAGAGUUGGACCAUAAAGAAAACUGAGUGCUGAAGAACUGAUGCUUUUGAAUGUGGUGUUUGAGAAGACUCUUGUGAGUCCCUUGGACUGCAAGGAGAUCAAACCAGUCAAUCCUAAGGGAAAUCAGUCCUGAAUAUUCACUGGAAGGACUGAUACUGAAGCUGAAGCUCCAAUACUUCGGCCACCUGAUGGAAAGAGCCUACUCAUUGGAAAAACCUUAAUGCUGGGAAACAUUGAGGGCAAGAGGAGAAGGAGACAGCAGAAGAAGAGAUGGUUGAAUGGCAUCACUGACUCAAUGGACAUGAGUUUAACCAAGGUCUGGGAGUUGGGGAUAAAUAGGGAAGCCUGGUGUGCUGCAGUCCAUGGGGUUGCAAAGAGUCGGACACAACUCAGUGACAACAACAACAACCUUGUGUGCAACAUGGUUAGGCAGUAAAGAUAGGAAAACCCAUAGAAUAUGAUCCCUGAAAGAUCUUGUAGUUGAAAAGGUUCAUAUACAAAUACUUAAAUUUUUAGAUUAAGAGGCUUCCCUGGUAGCUCAGAUGGUAAAGAAUCUGGCUGCCAAUGCAGGAGACCUGGGUUUGAUCCCUGGGUAGGGAAGAUGCCCUGGAGAAGGGCAUGGCAACCUACUCCAGUUUACCUGAAAACUUCCGUGGACAGUGGAACCUAGAGGGCUACAGUCCUGGAGGUCGCAAAGAGUCAGACACGACUGAGCAACUGACACUUCCACUUUCAUAUAAACAUACUUAAAAUUCAGGUUAAGAGGAAUAUACAGAGGAAAAAGCACUUGAAAAAUACAAGGGAAUGCCAAUAGAGUAAGUAUAUGCUAUCACCCUGGCUUAAAUGAGGGAUCAUUAAAACAAGGUCAUAAAGUCAGAAGCGAAGGAAUACACAUGAAAAAUAUUUAUGAGGAACAUUUAUCAGAGUCAGGCAGAGGUGCUUUGGGGAGAAAGAGGGAUCAAAGAUUGACUCUGGAUGGUGGUUUAUCCAGAAAGAAAAAAAAAUGACAAGGUUUGAAAGGGAGGAAAUGAAUAUGUUUGAAACUUCUUGAGUUUGAAGUAGCCAUUAAACAUUUUGGUGGAGCAGACUCUGUCAUAGUUUUCACCUAUGAGGCAAAUACUUCUGGGUGAAUUUUAUAAGAGUUUUUGAAAAUUACCCAAUAAUCAUUUAUAGCUAGAAUGCUACGUAUACAUUCAGGUUGUACUCUUUUAAAUCUUUUCAAUGUUCCUUGGAAGAAAAGUUAUGACCAACCUAGACAGCUUGUUAAGAAGCAGAGACAUUACUUUGCCAACAAAGAUCUGUUAGUCAAAGCUAUGGUUUUUCCAGUUGUCAUGUAUGGAUGUGAGAAUUGGACUAUAGAGAAAUCUGAGCGCCAAAGAAUUGAGGCUUUUGAACUAUGGUGUUGGAGAAGACUCUUGAGAGUCCCUUGGACUGCAAGGAGAUCCAACCAGUCCAUUCUGAGGGAGAUCAGCCCUGGGAUUUCUUUGGAAGGAAUGAUGCUAAAGCUGAAGCUCCAGUACUUUGGCCACCUGAUGCGAAGAGUUGACUCAUUGGAAAAGACUCUGAUGCUGGGAGGGAUUGGGGGCAGGAGGAGAAGGGGAUGACAGAGGAUGAGAUGGUUGGAUGCCAUCACUGACUCAAUGGACAUGAGUUUGAGUAAACACUGGGAGCUGGUGAUGGACAGGGAGGCCUGGCGUGGUGCAGUCCAUGGGGUUGCAAAGAGUCGGACACAACUGAGCGACUGAACUGAACUGAACUUUUAAAUCAAAAGCAGAAGUCAUAAUUGUAUAACAGGAGGAAGCAUUAUGUUUAAUAUAAAGCCUUGGUGUUCUGGUGUAUUUUAGGCUAGAGUUGGAAAUGGAGUGAUUCUGAUUACAAAUUGUCUUAGUUAAAGACGUUUUUUUUUUUAAUGCUUCAAUUUUCUCAUCACUGAAAUGGGUGUAUUUAUAACCCUAUGGCUUUCAGGAUUGCAGUGAGGACCAAAGGAGAUGAUCAGAAGCCCAAAGUACUUUAUCUGUAAUAAAACUUUAGCACUUAUUAGUUCCUUUUUACCUAUAAGAUAUUUUGACAUCAUUGAGAAUAAUGUUUGAAAACAUUAAGGAGAGGAACCCUUCUUACAAAUGAAGGCUUAUUCAGACUUGGAAAACAAAAGCCAAAGUUGUUUCCUCCUUACCCAAAUUCUCAAUUACAGGAACAAUGUGUGAUAUUAGGGCUCUUCAGAAAUCUCUAAUAUCAAUAAAUCCUCAAUUUAAAGAUGAGAAAACUGGUUGAAAGAGGUAAAAACAGUUUCCUUGAGUGACAUGGUUUGCUGGAGACAGAUCUUGAUCUAUCUCCCACGUUAUGAACUCCCUAUUAUAAAAUAUUCUGAAAUGCCAUAGUAUGAGUGUGACUCAAAUAACAUUGGCUACAAUUACAGUUCCAAAAGAAACUGGUGUGUUUUAAGUGUUCUUUGAGGUUCAGGAGCAUUCCUAUUUCUUGUGGUCUCCAAAUCACCAUUGUGAAGAGCAAACUUCUUUCUCAUAGGUAUGCUUUGAUGUAUUUAAGAAAUGGGCUUUAUGUGCCCAGUUUAGAUAAAAGAUGACCGUGAUGUUUUUUCUGUCCUUCUCUCUUAAUAGCUAGUGUUGGCAAACAUUUUAUGUUUGAGAGAGCUUGGAAGAUCGUGUCCUUGGGCAGCAGUUUCAAACAUGGAGUUACCCAGGGAACGCUUUUAAAUAAUGUAUUCUGAAACUCAGUCCUUGAAGAUUCUGAGGCAAUAGAUUUGAAGUGGAUCUUUAGAACUCAUCUUUUAAAGCUCCCCAGGUGAAGCUAGGACUUGAGGACCUUCCUCAUCUUUUGAAAUUCCCAGGUGGGGCAAGAAUUUGAGGACCAUUGCCCCGGGAUUGCCAGUGCUAUUCUCCUAGAGUUUCCUUUCUAGGUAACUCUAGUUUUUGAAUACUUAAUAACUUUGCCCAGAUCUUUUCUCUAGUUCAGAAUUAGGUCAUAUUCUGUCCCAUCUGAGUCAGCCUGUGCCCAUUCAUCAAACCUUUUCCAUGAGUAACAUCUUAGAGGGAAAAGAUGGCAUCAGCUUGGCAGUAACAACAAUAAGAACAACAAAAUAAAACCUUUGCUUACUGAGUCCUCACUAUGUGACCUGUGAGUUCUUGGUAUUUUUUCUGAUGGCAGAAAUCUGAACCAUACACUUUGAUUUGCAACAGCUUAAUAUUUCAAAGAGAACAGUUGAUUACUCUUUUCUCUGCCCUAUGCUCCUCUCCCAGCUUCCCUCACUUUCUCCCCAGCAGCCUGCCGAGUGCUCGUGCCUAGAUCUAGGUAUUUCCCCUGACAUCCCAUAACCAAUCCAGCAGCAAAUUCUGCCAGUCGUGCCAUCAAAAUAUAUGCCAGUCUAACCACUUCUCACCUGUUCUACCAAGAGCCAUUCAAUCCAAGUCACUAUGAUUUUUUUUUCUCUAUUAUUUUGGUAGCUGGCUAACUGAUCUUUCUGUUCUACUUUUCAUUUCAUGGCUAGUUUUUCAGAGAUAAAGCAAGAACAAUCCAAUGAAAGGGCAAAUCAGAGAUGUUCAUCCAUCAUUCUGAAACUUUCAGUCACUUCCUAUCACAUUUAAGUUAGAAGUCUAUUAUCCUUAUCAAGUAUUACCACAAGUACUACAUGAUCGAGUCUCUCUCUUCCCAUGUCAUAGUCCUUGCCCUCUUCCCUCUACUUCACUUUUGUUCAGUUGCUCAGCAAGGUCCUACUCUUUGAGACCCCAUGGGCUGCAGCACACCAGGCUUUCCUGUCCUUCACCAUCUCCCACAGUUUGCUCAAACUCAUGUCCGUUGAGUCAAUGAUGUCAUCCAACUCUCUUAUCCUCUGUCACCCCUUCUCCUCCUACCUUGAAUCUUUCCCACCAUCAGAAUGUUUUCUAAUGAGCUGGCUCUUCGCAUCAGGUGGCCAAAGGAUUUACUUCACUCCUGUUCUCUAAAUAAGCCAAGCUUUUGCUGACCUCAGGGCCUUUGCACUUGCUGUUUCCCACGACUAGUUUCCCAUAGCUAGGCUUCUCUUCCCCUAGAGCUUCCCACAGCUCACUCUUCUACUUCACACAGGUCUCUGUUCAAAUAUCAUUCUCUGUAAGACCUUCUCUGCCCAUUCUAUCUAUAAUAGUACACCUGCCACAUUGUAUCCCUUUUCCUUUACUUAUCUUUAUAACCUUUAUGACUACACUACCACUGUAGCAUACAUUUCUUUAAUAAUAAUUUUUUUUCCUUUUUUUUUUUUUUUGGAAUGAACUACAAGGCAUGUGUGGGAUCUUAGUUCUGUGACCAGGGAUCGAACCCACACUCUCUGCACUUGAAGCCCAGAGUCUUAACCACUGGGCCACCAGUGAAGUUUCAACAUACAUUUAUUUGGUUGUUUAUUGUCUCUCUCCCCAACUAGAAUGCACACUCUGUGGGGGAGGGGUUCUGUCUAUGUCUGUUCACCUUUGUAUGCCUAGCGCUUGGCACCUAGUCAGGGCCCAUUAUGUAUGUGUUGAAUAAAUGAAUGAAUGAGUCAGUAUAGCAGUUGUUAUCCUUCUGGGUUAUCCACAGCAUGCUUUUGAUUCUUGCCCCUCAGACGUACGUGGAAUGCUUGUAAAAUUUAGAUGACAGAAGUCUUGAUCUCUGCCAAUCAUUUUAUUCAUGGUCUUGUUUGCCUUUUGUUAUUGCUCUUUAAUAUUCAUAAAGAACACAGCCAUUCCUAGGACAGCUAGUCUUGAGAAUACUUUACUAUUAUCCCCUAUUCUGAAGGUGCCAGACUUUGCUCCUGGCCUUUGCUCCAGGGCUGUCAGAUUUAAAUUGGAUGAGGGGGGCAGACAACAUCCGGUCAGGCUUGUCCCACAGACAGGGAAAUACUCCAGCCACACUUACUGUCUCUGCCAGACCUGUAUAGAAAUACCGGAGGGAGGGAAACUUUACUUGAAAUGAUAAAAAUGCUGACUCUGGGACCUUAGGCGAAUAUUCCUUCUUACUUCUCACACUUGAAGCAGACAGAUGGGUGAUUUUCCUUCCUCUCUCGUGCACGGCUUCCUCGUCCACUAUGAGCCGUGCUUUACAGGAAGUUUUGCGUGUGGUCCAUGUUCACUGAUGCUGAAAUACUACUGCAGCUCUGUCCUCUUUUUAUUCAUGCUCAGAGCAUUUGUUUUAUGACACAUGAGAGCCAGCAAGUGUGCUCAAGUGCAAACAGACCCAUAUGUAGGUUGGGUGGAAGGGCUCUUUGUGGAAAGCCAGCUCUCACCACAGUGCACCCACACACAGACCCUUGGAAGGCUGGCAGCUCUGCUGAAGGAGAAGGGGCCAGCUUGCCAGCGGGCAUCCUGCCAUCAGAGCAGAUGGGCUCAAGCCCGGGCAGCAGCAGAACACGCAUGUGCGCUCUGGCCGCAAGCGUAUUUCUCAUUUGUCUUUAUUUUACAGGAGACAAAUUCUUGCUCAGAAAGGCUAAGUUUACAGAGUAGGAGUCAGGAAGGAAGCAAAGAAAUCAAAAUUUUCAUCUCAUGUAGUGAAACUUAGAGUUAUUUGUUAGAGACCCUCUUCAAUCCCAAAGCCCUCAUCACUGGAGGGGAUGCCCUGUCUUGCUCCGGCAGUUUGUCAUUUGCUAAUUAACUAGGUGGGCUUCCAGGUGUCACUAGUGGUCACAAACCCACCUGUCGAUGCAGGAGAUGUGAGAAACUCGGGUUCAAUCCCCAGGUCGGGAAGAUCUCGUGGAGAGGCAUAGCAACCAAGCCAGUAUUCUUGCCUGGAGAAUCCCGUAGACAGAGGAACCUGGCGGGCUACAGACCAGGACAGACUGAAGCGGCUUAGCAUGCAUGCAACUCACUAGGUAGCCUAAUCUUUUCAAAAGAGUCCAGAAAUCUAUGAAAGGGACUUCCCUGGUGCUCCAGUGGUUAAGAAUCCACUUUCCAAUGCAAGGAAUGUGGGUUCCAUCCUCAGUCAGGGAACUAAGAUCCCACAUACCAAGGGGCAACUAAGCCGCCAUAAUGCAGCCACUAAGCACUGAGCCCACUGGCCACAACUAAGAUUUGAUGAAGCCAGAUAAAUAAAUAAAUUAUUUUUAAGAAAUAUCUGGAAGGGGAAGGGAGGAGAGGGUGAGAGAAAAAAAAAAGAAAUAUUUGGAAGAAUCACUGCAUGCAAUGAAGCUAAUUUUACCAACAUAUUCAUUAUUUGAAAAUAUUAUGACAGUUACUCCCCAAAACUAUUUUUCCUCAUUUUAGUUUCCCAUUUUAAUAUAAAAAGAGCUCAAUUUCUUUUCCUGAUGACUUAAAAAGAUGACUAUAUGUUGAUAGGACUAAGAUGACAGCAUAAGCAAAAAUAUUGACACUUUGAAAGUCUGUUUUAAUAUUACUUCUGCAGUGUCCUAUUUGCCCAAAUGGAAAACUUGGAAGAGAAGAGAAUAACUGUGAUUACUGAGAAAUAUACAGACCUCUUAGAUGAUGUAUAAGUAUUGUAUCCAUCUGAAUAGCAAUGAAAAAAAUAAACUUCUCACAGUCCCUACAUAUAAUUCAUGGGCAUAUUAUAAUAAUAUUCACUUUGAUAUUUUGUAUAAAAUAAGGUGAUUGGUAUUUUAUAUAAAAAGGUGCUUAUACACAGCUUAUAUGCCCCACACAGUUUUCACAUUUAUUAUCUUGCUUGAGCCUCACUAUAAACUUGUGAGGCAAGUAAAACAGGCCUGUUGGUCUCUGUGCAGUUGAGGAAAUUUCUGUGCAGGUAGAAUGACUCAAGCUCAGACUUCAAGAUCAUUUGUCUUUUAUCAUUGGAACUUCAGUUUAGAGGUUGUUGUAAAACGAGAAAUUAUAUAGUGAUGGCUUUUAAAUUUUCAUAGCCUUUACAGUCUUGCUUUCUUGUUUUAAUUUUUUUAAAGAAAUAUAUACAUACUUUUAUUUUUUAAAUAGCAUUUGCUUUAUUAUUGCAAAAGUAAGUAGAUGGGGAAACAGUGGAAACAGUGUCAGACUUUAUUUUUUGGGGCUCCAAAAUCACUGCAGAUGGUGAUUGCAGCCAUGAAAUUAAAAGAUGCUUACUCCUUGGAAGGAAAGUUAUGACCAACCUAGACAGCAUAUUGAAAAGCAGAGGCAUUACUUUGCCAACAAAGGUCUGUCUAGUCAAGACUAUGGUUUUUUCCAGUGGUCAUGUAUAGAUGUGAGAGUUGGACUGUGAAGAAAGCUGAGCGCCGAAGAAUUGAUGCUUUUGAACUGUGGUGUUGGAGAAGACUCUUGAGAGUCCCUUGGACUGCAAGGAGAUCCAACCAGUCCAUUCUGAAGGAGAUCAGUCCUGGGUAUUCAUUGGAAGGACUAAUGCUAAAGCUGAAACUCCAAUACUUUUGGCCACCUCAUGCAAAGAGUUGACUCAUUGGAAAAGACUCUGAUGCUGAGGGGGAUUGAGGGCAGGAGGAGAAGGGGACAACAGAGGAUGAGAUGGCUGGAUGGCAUCACUGACUCGAUGGACGUGAGUUUGAGUGAACUCCGGGAGUUGGUGAUGGACAGGGAGGCCUGGUGUACUGUGAUUCACAGGCUCGCAAAGAGUCAGACAAGACUGAGCGACUGAAUUGAACUGAAUAGUUUAUUAUUUUGAAAAGAAAAAAUAAUAAGAAAUUAUAUAUAAAUAAUAAGCAAUGAAAAACACCAAUCAGUGAUAGCUAACUCAUGAUAAAUAUUGUUCCAGCAUUUUUUUCAGGUCGGUAUGUAGGUAACUAAAUAGGUAAAUGAGAGAGAUACAGAUAGAUAGAACAAUAAUCAUUUUGAAUGAAAACAAGAUCAUACUGUUGUAGUGUGUUAAACUUUGUCUUCAUUAUCUACAAGUAUUACUGUGUGACAUCCCUUUUGAUUAUUAAAUAAUAUUCUAUUAUAUGAACUUACAAUUUACUUGACAUUUGGUUUACCUGUAUUUUUCAUUAUAAAAUAGAGUAUCUUUAUAAUCCUGUUGUUAAAUUCUGUGAGCAUCUAUCUCAACUGAUUUAUUUAUAUCUAACUCCUAGAAAUGGAGUCUCUAGAUCAAAGGGUAUAUAUACUUUUAAUGUUUUAUACUACAUUGACAGAUUACCUUCCUGAAUUGUUUUCUCAAUAUAUAGUUUUACAGCAGGUAAGACAGCCCUUUUCUUUCAACCUUACCAGUACUGAGCAUUAUUUUAAUACUUGAUGUAACAGUUUACAUUUUUAUGUUGUAGCUUAUGCUUACAUUUCUUUAAACAAGAUAAGGUUGAACAUUUUUUCAGUGUUUUGAGGACAGUUAAUUUACUCUGUGAUUUGCCUCCUACUGUUCAUUUUUCUACAGGGUGUAUCUUUUUGUUGUUGCUUUAUAAAAACUUUGUAUAUUAAGGAGUUAAAUUUUGUUAUGCAUGUUUCAGUCACCUUUAUCAUGUUAAAAUGUAUUCUUUUCUUUUGUCUUUUACUAUCAGAUUUUAUUAAUCAUGAAAGAAUGUUGAAUUUUCAGUCUGUUGAGAUGAUUGUGGCUUAAUUAAUAUUUUAAUAUGUAGAAAUGUAUGAAUCAACUUCCCACUAGCUUUCUUUUAUUUUUUUAAUGAAACAUGACAUAAGGGGAACAAAUGGAGACAUAAGGGAAACUCUUAUGUCUCAAGCGUCUUGGCCACUGGCUGCAAAGUCAAUAUUCUGGGGCUGCUAUGUUUGUUUUUGACAAUAGUCAAGUCUUCUUGACUAUUGAGUAAUUUACCAAAUGUGCAAAAUAUUUGAAUAAUCCUGCUGAUGGUUGUUCUGAUCCUUCUUCACUACAUUCUCUAUCAAUUCCAUUGAGAGAUUUAAAAACAAUAUCCCUGCUUAAGAGAACUUUUAGUACUUUUGUUGUUUUACAAACUCCGUGGGUGACUGCCAAAAUAACAGUGAUAAAUAAAACUCUGUAGUAAAUUGCUGUGCUCUGUGGAUGCAUUGUAUGAAAACACCCUUGUAAAAAAAAUAUACAUUUCAUUUUGUACCACUGUACGUAAUUUUGUGAUUUUUCUUUCCCAACUGAAAAUACUGAGUUCUUAUGUUGACAUGCUAGCAAACAGCACACCUUAAUCCCUGUUUAUAUUUACCAUUAAAAAUAAUAGAUUUUUGCUUUUGGAACUGAACCUAACAAUGCAAUUUUAAAGUCUUCAGAACCAAUCAAAAAUCUCUUGAAAUUAAGUUCACUUAAAGAAACACAGAAAACCACUCUCCUCCUGAAACUUGGUAGGAUAUCAUCUGACUCCUGUUAUAAAUAGCCCAUUUGAAGAGAUAGCAGUAAGUUAAAUUAUGAAAAAUUUUCCAAGUAAUUUAUAUCCAUUUCUGAAUUUGGACAGGGCAGAAUUAUAUAUAUAUAUAUAUAUAUAUAUAUAUAUAUAUAUAUAUUUUUAUGGUGGCUGGUGCUCUGGUAUGCAAAGUUAAUGUGCCUUUUCUGUUGUCAAUGGUUUGCAGAAAAAAUAUACUUUGUAAGACUUUGAAGAGUCGCAAGAUGAUUUUUUUUUUAAAGGUUUAUACAUUGCUCAGAAUCUAAGUGAAAAAUAUUCCAAGAAGCUGUGACAGCCCAGCCAUAUGUGUCUGUAAAGGACUAAAUUUCAUCACUUGCGCAGAGAGCCUUGCACUCAAUAGCAAGUGAGUUUGGGGCAUCCUGAAGCUAGAUAUAAGAGAUGAAUUCUAUCAUAAACUGGAUGACAGCUACAUUUCUAAAACCCACUAGUUCCUUAAUUCUGUCUUGAGGUCAGAGAAAAGGAAACAAUUAAAUUCAACACAUACCCAAGGUGACACAUUUUUGAAACGAAUCAGAUUUGAUGUCAGCUUUAUAGUACAUGGGGAAAUAGUCACUCUCAGAAGAACUGAGAUGGAGUUCUCUGUUGCUCAGUCCUCAAAGUCUGCAUGAAUCCCCAAAGAAUAAUGAGCAAAGUGAGAAUGAACAAGUACUCUACUCCUUAAGACAUCAAGGUGUCUGGUAGUAUAGACAGAUCAAUAGCGUUUGUUUCUCCCUUUCCAGAAAAAAAAAAAAAAAAUGCGCACUGAGCCGCUAGGGCAGGGCUUGUCAUUCCUCCACCAGCCUCUCCACUUCCUCUCCCUUUCUGCCUUUUCUCCAUCUCAAAUCCUCCUUUAUCAUCUCUGCUGCUCUUGCAGCAUCUUCUCUCUGAUUCCUAGAGUUUAUCCGUGCCUAACUUACACUGUUCUAAAUGUGAUCUAUCCCCAUUUGAGGGAUUUCAGACUUUUGGUACAUAAGUUUUUAGAAAAGCAUUGUGAGACCAAAGGUUCCUCAUCCUUCAGAUCUUUUGUUGAAAGAGACUCUAUUCAGCAGUCAUAUUGUUCUGUAGUGGGCCUUUCCACUGUUCAAAGAAAACCACUCUUCUGACACACAGUGGAAGGACUAGAGAUAAAUAAUUCCUCAAUACAGUUUGAUUGAUUCAGAAAGAGCCAAAAGGUUUUAGUGGCAACUAAAGAGAAUGAGAUUUCUAAGAAUUCCCGUGGAAUUAUAUUUGAACAUAAUGAAAACAGAAAAAGCAAUAGAUUGACUAGCCAAGGUGCUACCAAGAAUUUUAAAUUAUCUAUGCAUCUGUUUUCUCAUUCGUGCAUUUAUCCUCCCUGAGAAGAGGUUAAUAUCAUCUCCACAUCACAAAGCGGAAGCUAAGCUGUGUUCCCCCGAGGUCUAGCCCAGUUGCUCUAUAUUGUAGAUUACUAGGUGUUGUAGGAUUAUGAGGGUUAGUACAUCCUUGAGCUGAGCAUUUCUUUGGAACCCUGAGCCAUGCUCUGUAGCAGAAUGUUUGCUAGUAAGUAGAUGAAAUGUACUGAUGAAAUGUACUAAAAGAACAUGACCCCACAUGUUCUGGUUAAAAGCGGAACACCCAUUAUUCACUUGGGCUUUUAUUGUUAGAGUCUUGAGAGAUCAGCAAAUCUUCAUAAAAUUUUGUUUCACACAGAAGAAACAGAGUACUUAAAGAGAAACGAUUGUGAUUUAAUAAGGUUUGUCUUCUUGAGAAUGCUCUCCUUCCACUCUUUGAGGUAAGAUUGAUUGAUUGAAAAUCGAUGGAAUAUAAAGCACUCUUAGAUGGCAGUGCAGCUUUCCAGUUAUGGGCAGGGACCCACAUGGGCUGAACUCACAUCCCAGCAUAUAACCCUUAAUGGGUGUGUGCUCUUGGGAAAUUUUGCUUAGAAAUGUUCACCUCUGAAAAUGAGAAUAAUAAUAGUGCCUACAUCAUAGGACCGUGGUGAGUAUAUGUAUGCUGAAUGCAAAAUGCUGAGAAAAGUUCCUGGCAUUUUUUCUAAAAUAUUUGCAAUUAUUAUUAGCAUUAACCAAUAAAAGAAAACUGCUACGUCUCUAGAUUUAAAUCAUCAAAGAAAUAUAUUAAUUCUUAUAAUGAGAGUAUGUAAAAUUAUAAUUCUGUUGAGUGGACUUCAUAGAGUUGAUUCAGUCCCAUGCAAACAAUAUCUGACUUCAGCAUAAGAAGUUCACACUUCUAUUUAUUUGAGAAUACCCAAUUUGUACUCUUUCUCAUUCUUAACGUUUUGAUGUUUUUCUUAAUGAGCAAGAGAAGAGAUGCCAUUUCUAUGGAGGCGGUUUCUGUUCCUCAGUCUACUUUUUGAUACAAAGUUGGAACAUCAUUUUGCACAUGAAUGUGGCUCUCAUUGACAAGGGACACUGGGGUGAUCUUUUGGCUCCAGACAUUAAAAUCUAGGGCAGGAUUUAAUGGAAGCCUUGCUUUUCCUGCUAUUUUUCUCAGGCUUAUCACUUUUUAAGCAUUUGGUCAUAACAUUUCCUCUCUUCUGUCUCUACACCUCUUCUUUCUGUGUCUCUCCCAUAUAUAUAUAUGGAUACAUGGACAUGUGGUGUGUUUGUUCAUAUGUGUGUGUACAUGUUGCCAUAGUAGGAUCUAGUAGUUAAGUUAUUUCUCCUAAAGCAGAGCAGCAGUCAGACUGAUUAGACAAGAACGCAAAAGGUCAUUUGGGCAAAUCCUUUUAUUUCAAGUAACACUUCCCACAAACCAAGGGGAAGAAAUAGAUUUUUUUAAAUCUUCCCUUAGUCCUGUACAAAAGUGUAUUUUUAGUGGUUCACCAGAUGCUGCCAAUAAUUAUAAAGAAUGGCAUUUUCAUAGUAGACAUUUUUGAUACAGACAGAAACCUCAGUGAAACAAGACAAUGUUUCAUUUUUUGUUCAAGGCCCUGAGCUUCCUACAAAAUAAAGGUGAAAUCAUAUAAAUGGCAAACAAAUCUAUAUUUGGAGUGAAGACACAUUGUUACUACCUUAAUUUCUCAGGUUUUUGACUUGCAUAUUUGACCUAUCAUUUUUAGAAGUUAUUUUCAUUGUAAAUAACAAAAAUAAAAGCCUGGAAAAGUAUUUCUGUAGCAUCAAGUGCCUCAUCCUAGGUCAGAGAAAAGUCAUUGGUAAGACAGACAUUGGAGCACCCAAUUUUCAGUUAUUAAACUGUUACUUAGACCACUAAACCAGGAUAAGUUAGUGCAGAUCCUGCAGUCAAACAAAAUCCCAAGUUGCUUGAACCUCUUAUCAAGUUUGACAAAGUCAUCUCUUUGGGGAAAUUCUUUGUGAAUUCCUUCUUUAUGUAAAGUGACUUAGACCCCUGUUGUCCACUGAAAAUGCUUUUAUUAGUUCAGUUCAGUCACUCAGUCGUGUCCAACUCUUUGCGACCCCAUGAAUCACAGCACGCCAGGCCUCCCUGUCCAUCACCAUCUCCCGGAGUUCACUCAAACUCACGUCCAUCGAGUUGGUGAUGCCAUCCAGCCAUCUCAUCCUCCGUCGUCCCGUUUUCCUCCUGCCCCCAAUCCCUCCCAGCAUCAGAGUCUUUUCCAAUGAGUCAACUCUUUGCAUGAGGUGGCCAAAGUACGGAGUUUCAGCUUUAGCAUCAUUCCUUCCAAAGAACACCCAGGGCUGAUCUCCUUUAGAAUGGACUGGUUGGGUAUAAAUGCUUUUAUACCCAGCUUUUAAUCAGAGAAUUUGCAAAAUGAGUGUUUUCUCUUUUUGGAGCACACAAAACUGUUGAUAUACUUGCUACUGUGAUUAAUUUCUUAUUUAAUUCUAUGUCUAUUUCCUCAUGUAAUGAAUUAGAGUCUCCAUGCUUCUGUCUUAGAAACCCAUCUGUUUCUAGUACAUCGUUGCUUUGAAAGCAUGCCCUUGAAACUUGGAUUUCCUUUACAGCUAUUAUACAUUAGAUAAGACCUUGAAAUUAGACAAUUGACUGAACUGAGGGAACUUACGGCAAAUUUAUUAGAACUGACUAUGAAAGUUUCUCGAAACCAAAGAAGAGCAUUAACUUCAUAACUUGGAGUUUGUUCCAUCAAAAAUUCUAGAAUUGUCAAUCCAGCUGGUAGUGCUAGAGGAACAGUUCUGGGUAAGCCAUAGCAGCUCGUACAACAGGGAAUGGCUACAAAGCAGAACAUGGAAGUGUUAGUAAAUAUAAAUCAUAGAGAUAGUGCCUUGUUAGUUCACCUUCAGAAGCUCCAAAUACAUUCAUAUAUUUUCUUCUGAUUUAAAUAAAGCUAAGUAAAUGAUGAUUUACACUCUGGGUAACUGAAGAGUUUUAGGUAACCUACUUUCUAAAAGAAAGACACCAUCCAGAAUUAGUACAUUCAUGCCAUGCUGCAUAAUGAGAUCAAUCUUCAUAGGUAAUGCCUAGUAAAUUGUCUACAAAAAAUGCCUUUCCACUAUCAGGAUUUGUUGUAGCCCUUACACAAAUUACCAAUUCGGUAAAUACUUCUGUUUUAAACUUGAAUCUUUAUUUUCCUUGAAAAGUUAGAAAACAGAGAAUAUGGCUCAAACUUGAACUGAUGGUUGAAAGCUUUGGGUCAUUUUAACAGAUUGCUGCAUUUCCAUGGUUGAUGGCAGUGGCAGAAUUUAUUUUGUUACACCCAGUACCUAUGACUCUGGCUUCCCUAGUGGCUCAGUUGGUAAAGAAUCUGUGUGCAAUGCAGGAGACCUGGGUUUGAUCCCUGGGUCAAGAAGAGCCCCUGGAGAAGGAAAUAGCAACCCACUCCAGUACUCUUGCUUGGAGAAUUCCACGGAUGAAGGAGCCAGGCAGGGUACAGUCCAUGGGAUUGCAAAGAGUCAGACACGACUGUGUGACUAAGUUUUACUUCUACCCGGUACCUAAUCCCAACCCUACUCACUUACCUGUCCCUAUACUAUAGGCUGUAAAGUUUGUAGGUUGUCUUUUCUAGUCUCCCUUGUAAGUAUGGGUGACAGUGUGACACGGUUCUAACCACUGAGAGGUACACGGUUGUGCACUGGCAGUGCCCUGGCUCCGAUUCCUUUCCUCCUGCUUGGAUUAACAGCAGAAUGAGUGGAGCAGCAGCAACCAUCAUGACACCAUGAGGAGAGACUUUGAGAGAUAUUGCAUCCAACAUGUUUGAACAACUAAACUCGAUCUGGUGAUUGCCUGCAUCUAGAAUCCUGGUAUCUGAAUUUUUGAACUCUGUAUACAUAUAUAGAUGUCUCUGUAGGUGAAGGCCUCUGUCCUUCAUCCUAUUAAACAGAAUGGAAUAACUUCAUCAUCAGAAGUACUGAUUCACUUGUUCAUUCAUUAUUCAUUACAUUAUAGCAUAUGACUGAAGUCAGCAUACAAUAUGGCUAGGUAAAAUAAAUUUUUAAUAGUGAGAACUACAGGGCAAAGAGAAUAUAAUGGUAGAAGAGUGAAAUAAAGCCAGGAAAACCCAAAAAUGUAUCUAAAAGUUUUAUAUUUAUAUAUAUAUAUAGAUAUAUAUAUUUAGAGAUUAGACAAAAAUUUGGCUCAGAUUCUAGCAUCCAGUGCAAAGGGGUAUACAUAAUGAAUUAUACAGUUUACAGUGUCCAUGAGAGAAAAACAAACCAGUUGCUUAGCAGAGGGCUGACUGCUGCUGACUAGGAAGUGAUAGAGACAUUUCCCCCAUGGACCGUCACAAAGUGGUCAUUGUGUCUCAUAGGGAACAAAAUCUUCAACUGUUUUCAUACAGUUAUAUGUUUUAUAGGGCUCUUUUUCCUUUCUUGGACUGCCUCUUAAUAUAUGCUGAUGUUAUCUGCCAAAUUGCACUUUAAUGAAAACAACUUUAUAAGUUACCAGUAGGAUACAAUAUCAAUUCAUUUUUCUCUAAAAGUCUAGUUUAGUCCAGAGUAUAGCCAGGAGUAUUCAGGAAAAUGGAAUGUGAGAAUGCGAUCAGAAAGUACCACCUUCAGUAGUCUCUGUCAACCAAAGUUUUGGCAGCUAUUAACAGGUGCUGAGGCACAAAUGUUUAUCGUUGGUUUCUACCAUAUAGAAAAGUGCAUCCGCUAUACAUAUAUCUCCUCUUUUAUUUUAGAUUUCCUUCCCAUUUAGGUCACCACAGAGCACUUGAAUAGAGUUCCCUGACUGCAGCCAUGAAAUUAAAAGAGGUUUACUCCUUGAAAGAAAAGUUAUGACCAACCUAGAUAGCGUAUUGAAAAGCAGAGACAUUACUUUCCUGACUAAGAUCCGUCUAGUGAAGGCUAUGGUUUUUCCAGUGGUCAUGUGUGGAUGUGAGAGUUGGACUGUGAAGAAAGCUGAGCACCAAAGAAUUAAUGCUUUUGAACUGUGGUGUUGGAGAAGACUCUUGAGAGUCCCAUGGACUGUAAGGAGAUCCAACCAGUCCAUUCUGAAGGAGAUCGGCCCUGGGAUUUCUUUGGAAGGAAUGAUGCUAAAGCUGAAACUCCGGUACUUUGGCCACCUCAUGCGAAGAGUUGACUCAUUGGAGAAGACUCUGAUGCUGGGAAGGAUUGGGGGCAGGAGGAGAAGGGGGCGACAGAGGAUGAGAUGGCUGGAUGGCAUCGCCGACUCGGACGCGACUCUGAGUGAACUCCGGGAGUUGGUGAUGGACAGGGAGGCCUGGUGUCCUGCAAUUCAUGGGGUCGCAAAGAGUUGGACACGACUGAGGGACUGAACUGAACUGAACUGAACUGAUACUGUACUGGUGUUUUUCUUCCUGGCUUACUUCACUCUGUAUAAUCGGCUCCAGUUUCAUCCACCUCGUUAGAACUAAUUCAAAUGUAUUCUUUUUAAUGGCUGAGUAAUACUCCAUUGUGGAGAAGGCAAUGGCACCCCACUCCAGUACUCUUGCCUGGAAAAUCCCAUGGACGGAGGAGCCUGGUAGGCUGCUGUCUAUGGGGUUGCACAGAGUCAGACAUGACUGAGCGACUUCACUUUCACUUUUCACUUUCAUGCAUUGGAGAAGGAAAUGGCAACCCACUCCAGCGUUCUUGCCUGGAGAAUGCUAGGGACAGGGGAGCCUGGUGGGCUGCUGUCUAUGGGGCCGCACAGAGUUGGACACAACUGAAGCGACUUAGCAGCAGCAGCAGCAAUACUCCAUUGUGUAUAUGUACCACAGCUUUCUUAUCCAUUCAUCUGCUGAUGGACAUCUAGGUUGCUUCCAUGUCCUGGCUAUUAUAAACACUGCUGAGAUGAACAUUGGGGUAUAUGUGUCUCUUUCAAUUCUGGUUUCCUCGGUGUGUAUGCCCAACAGUGGGAUUGCUGGCUCAUACGGCAGUUCUAUUUUCAGUUUUUUAAGGAAUCUCCACACUGUUCUCCAUAGUGGCUGUACUAGUUUGCAUUCCCACCAACUGUGUAAGAGGGUUCCCUUUUCUCCACACCCUCUCCAGCAUUUAUUGCUUGUAGACUUUUGGAUAGCAGCCAUUCUGACUGGCGUGAAAUGGUACCUCAUUGUGGUUUUGAUUUGCAUUUCUUAUAAUGAAUGAUGCUGCGCAUCUUUCAUAUGUUUGUUAGCCAUCUGUAUGUCUUCUUUGGAGAAAUGUGAGUUUAGUUCUUUGGCCCACUUUUUGAUUGGGUCUUUUAUUUUUCUGGAAUUGAGCUGCAGGAGUUGCUUUUAUAUUUUUGAGAUUAAUUCUUUGUUCAUUGCUUCACUUGCUAUUAUUUUCUCCCAUUCUGAAGGCUGUCUUUUCACCUUGCUUAUAGUUUCCUUUGUUGUGCAGAAGCUUUCAAUUUUAAUUAGGUUCCAUUUGUUUAUUUUUGCUUUUAUUUCCAAUAUUCUGGGAGGUGGCUCAUAGAGGAUCCUGCUGUGGUUUAUGUUAGAGAGUGUUUUACCUAUGUUUUCCUCUAGGAGUUUUAUAGUUUCUGGUCUUACAUUUAGAUCUUUAAUCCAUUUUGAGUUUAUUUUUGUGUAUGGUGUUAGAAAGUGUUCUAGUUUCAUUCUUUUACAGGUAGUUGACCAGUUUUCCCAGAACCACUUGCUAAAGAGAUUUCUUUUCUCCAUUGUAUAUUCUUGCCUCCUUUUUCAAAGAUAAGGUGUCCAUAGGUGCAUGGAUUUAUCUCUGGGCUUUCUAUUUUGUUCCAUUGAUCUAUAUUUCUGUCUUUGUGCCAGUACCAUACUGUCUUGAUGACUGUGGCUUUGUAGUAGAGACUGAAGUCAGACAGGUUGAUUCCUCUUUCUCAAGAUUGCUUUGGCUAUUUGAGGUUUUUUUGCAUUUCCAUACAAAUUGUGAAAUUAUUUGUUCUAGUUCUCUGAAAAAUACUGUUGGUAGCUUGAUAGGGAUUGCAUUGAAUCUAUAGAUUGCUUUGGGUAGUAUACUCAUUUUCACUAUAUAGAUUCUUCCAGUCCGUGAACACAGUAUAUUUCUCCAUCUAUUUGUGUCCUCUUUGAUUUCUUUCACCAGUGUUUUAUAGUUUUCUGUAUAUAGGUCUUUUGUUUCUUUAGGUAGAUAUAUACCUAAGUAUUUUAUUCUUAUUGUUGCAAUGGUGAUUGGAAUUAUUUCCUUAAUUUCUCUUUCUGUUUUCUCAUUGAUAGUGUAUAGGAAUGCAAGGGAUUUCUGUGUGUUGAUUUUAUAUUCUGCAACUUUACUAUACUCAUUGAUUACCUCUAGUAAUUUUCUGGUGAAGGCUUUUGGGUUUUCUAUGUAGAGGAUCCUGUCAUCUGCAAACAGUGAGAAUUUUACUUCUUCUUUUCCAAUCUGGAUUCCUUUUAUUUCUUUUUCUGCUCUAAUUGCUGUGGCCGAAACAUCCAAGACUCUGUUGAAUAGUAGUGGUGAGACUAGGCACCCUUGUCUUGUUCCUGACUUUAGGGGAAACGCUUUCAAUUUUUCACCACUGAGGAUAAUGUUUGCUGUGGGUUGGUCCAUUUUCAUUUCUAAUUUGUUGAUUUGAUUUUUCAAUAAAGAACCCAAAGGUUAGUAGAAGGAAAGAAAUCUUGAAAUUAGGGCAGAAAUAAAUGCAAAACAAACAAAAGAGCCCAUAGCAAAAAUCAACAAAGCCAAAAGCUGGUUCUUUGAGAAAAUAAAUAAAAUUGACAAAUCAUUAGCCAGACUCAUCAAGAAACAAAGGGAGAAAAAUCAAAUCAAUAAAAUUGGAAAUGAAAAUGGAGAGAUCACAACAGACAACACAGAAAUACAAAGGAUCAUACUAUUAUCAGCAACUAUAAUACAAAUAAAAUGGAAAACUUGGAAGAAAUGGACAAAUUCUUAGAAAAGUACAACUUUCCAAAACUGAACCAGGAAGAAAUAGAAAAUCUUAAUAGACCCAUCACAAGUACAGAGAUUGAAACUGCAAUCAGAAAUGUUCCAACAACAAAAGCCCAGGACCAGACGGCUUCACAGCUGAAAUUCUACCAAAAAUUUAGAGAAGAGCUAACACCUAUCCUACUUAAACUCUUCCAGAAAAUUGCAGAGGAAGGUAAACUUCCAAACUCAUUCUAUGAGGCCAUCACCCUAAUACCAAAACCUGACAAAGAUGCCACAAAAAAAAGAAAACUACAGGCCAAUAUCACUGAUGAACAUAGAUGCAAAAAUCCUUAACAAAAUUCUAGCAAACAGAAUCCAACAACAUAUAAAAAGGUCAUACACCAUGACUAAGUGGGCUUUAUCCCAGGGAUGCAAGGAUUCUUCAAUAUCCACAAAUCAAUCAAUGUAAUACACCACAUUAACAAAUUGAAAAAUAAAAGCCAUAUGAUUAUCUCAAUAGAUUCAGAGAAAGCCUUUGACAAAAUUCAAUAUCCAUUUAUGAUUUAAAACCCUCCAGAAAGCAGGAAUAGAAGGAACAUACCUCAACAUAAUAAAGCUAUAUAUGACAAACCCACAGGGAGAGGUUUAUAGAGACAGAGUGAGCAAGAAACUGGUGGGGUGAGUGGUCAGUGUAUGUACAUUCUUCUGACUGACUGAUGGUGGGUAAUCAAGAGUCAACAUCUUCAACCUUCUGGUUCCAACCAGUCUGAGGUCUGCAUGCUUGUGAAUAGCAUGCAGUUGACUUCCAUGGGCAUUUUAGUAUCUGUAAAACAGCUCAAAGGAAUAUAAUCUAUAAUCUGUGAAGAGGAACUGAAGGUCCUUGACUUUGGUUAAUUAAUUAGCUACUAUUAUUUUGUCUUAUUAAACUGUUUGCUUUGUUUCUUUAUUUUCUCACUUAUCUGAUUAGAUUUACUCUUUGGAACUUGGGGGAGGCUCAGGAGGCUUAAGUUUUCCUACAAACAAGAGACAAGUUGAGGAAAUGGGGGAUCAGUCAAGGGAAGGCCCCAUAGGGUCCUGCUCGGUUAUAGUUACCCCUUUUUCUUUGUUACUCCUCAGUCCUGAGGGAGAACAUAUGAGGAACAAGAAAGAGAAUAAAGUUUUGGAUAGACAGGUAAAUUUUAAACUCCACAGAGGAACUCAGUCUUGGAGGAGUCACUUUCAAAUACAAUGUUUACUAUCUAUUUCUCAUAGACCUAUUUCUUUUAUUCAUAGAUUACAGAGUUUAUAUCCAGAAUUGGUGUUAUUUUCCUGUUAAAUACUUUCUUAACAGCUUAAAAAUUAUUAUCAUUAUUACCACAAAGAGGUUCCCUUUUAAUUUAUUAAUGGUAUUCCAGUCUACUAAUGUAUAUACUGUUGUUAAAUGUACUCUUUUGGCAUUCUUGGAAAAAGCUUGCUUCACCAGUAUUUUUUCUCUCCUAAUACAUAACUGACCUUUAUGAACUUUAUAUUUAAGAUUCUUAUAGUUAUGGCCAUAGUUUACAUCAUGCUGUUGUUUUCCUUACUGUUGUUCUUCAUCUGUGCUGGAAAAGACUCUCAUGCUAGUAGACUAGCUUUUUCAGUCACAAGAAACAAUUUAUUCCAUUUGGGAGUAUUGUUUCAGUAGGAAAUAUAUUCCUAUUAUUUCAUAUAGGAGUCAUUUCAUUUGGGAGUAUUUGUUCCUAUACGAAUCUCACCUUGAAAACUAUCUGUAUUUAUAUAUUUCUAGGUGUAGAUUUGUGUCUAGUUUUCAACUUCAUCACUGAAGCUUUCUCCUUGAAUACAUAUUUAAUCAUAUUCCACGUGUUUGAAUAUGUACUGUUCCCAUGAUGAUUACUCUCAGCAAAAAAGUUUUUUUUUAAAUUGAGAUUCUUUGGGCACCAGACACUUAAAAUAGGGCAAAAAAAGCG